UGGAAAGGCGCGCGAUACAGGGUGACAGCCCCGUACACAAAAAUGCACAUGCUGUGAGCUCGAUGAGUAGGGCGGGACACGUGGUAUCCUGUCUGAAUAUGGGGGGACCAUCCUCCAAGGCUAAAUACUCCUGACUGACCGAUAGUGAACCAGUACCGUGAGGGAAAGGCGAAAAGAACCCCGGCGAGGGGAGUGAAAAAGAACCUGAAACCGUGUACGUACAAGCAGUGGGAGCACGCUUAGGCGUGUGACUGCGUACCUUUUGUAUAAUGGGUCAGCGACUUAUAUUCUGUAGCAAGGUUAACCGAAUAGGGGAGCCGAAGGGAAACCGAGUCUUAACUGGGCGUUAAGUUGCAGGGUAUAGACCCGAAACCCGGUGAUCUAGCCAUGGGCAGGUUGAAGGUUGGGUAACACUAACUGGAGGACCGAACCGACUAAUGUUGAAAAAUUAGCGGAUGACUUGUGGCUGGGGGUGAAAGGCCAAUCAAACCGGGAGAUAGCUGGUUCUCCCCGAAAGCUAUUUAGGUAGCGCCUCGUGAAUUCAUCUCCGGGGGUAGAGCACUGUUUCGGCAAGGGGGUCAUCCCGACUUACCAACCCGAUGCAAACUGCGAAUACCGGAGAAUGUUAUCACGGGAGACACACGGCGGGUGCUAACGUCCGUCGUGAAGAGGGAAACAACCCAGACCGCCAGCUAAGGUCCCAAAGUCAUGGUUAAGUGGGAAACGAUGUGGGAAGGCCCAGACAGCCAGGAUGUUGGCUUAGAAGCAGCCAUCAUUUAAAGAAAGCGUAAUAGCUCACUGGUCGAGUCGGCCUGCGCGGAAGAUGUAACGGGGCUAAACCAUGCACCGAAGCUGCGGCAGCGACGCUGAUGCGUUGUUGGGUAGGGGAGCGUUCUGUAAGCCUGUGAAGGUGUGCUGUGAGGCAUGCUGGAGGUAUCAGAAGUGCGAAUGCUGACAUAAGUAACGAUAAAGCGGGUGAAAAGCCCGCUCGCCGGAAGACCAAGGGUUCCUGUCCAACGUUAAUCGGGGCAGGGUGAGUCGACCCCUAAGGCGAGGCCGAAAGGCGUAGUCGAUGGGAAACAGGUUAAUAUUCCUGUACUUGGUGUUACUGCGAAGGGGGGACGGAGAAGGCUAUGUUGGCCGGGCGACGGUUGUCCCGGUUUAAGCGUGUAGGCUGGUUUUCCAGGCAAAUCCGGAAAAUCAAGGCUGAGGCGUGAUGACGAGGCACUACGGUGCUGAAGCAACAAAUGCCCUGCUUCCAGGAAAAGCCUCUAAGCAUCAGGUAACAUCAAAUCGUACCCCAAACCGACACAGGUGGUCAGGUAGAGAAUACCAAGGCGCUUGAGAGAACUCGGGUGAAGGAACUAGGCAAAAUGGUGCCGUAACUUCGGGAGAAGGCACGCUGAUAUGUAGGUGAAGUCCCUCGCGGAUGGAGCUGAAAUCAGUCGAAGAUACCAGCUGGCUGCAACUGUUUAUUAAAAACACAGCACUGUGCAAACACGAAAGUGGACGUAUACGGUGUGACGCCUGCCCGGUGCCGGAAGGUUAAUUGAUGGGGUCAGCGCAAGCGAAGCUCUUGAUCGAAGCCCCGGUAAACGGCGGCCGUAACUAUAACGGUCCUAAGGUAGCGAAAUUCCUUGUCGGGUAAGUUCCGACCUGCACGAAUGGCGUAAUGAUGGCCAGGCUGUCUCCACCCGAGACUCAGUGAAAUUGAACUCGCUGUGAAGAUGCAGUGUACCCGCGGCAAGACGGAAAGACCCCGUGAACCUUUACUAUAGCUUGACACUGAACAUUGAGCCUUGAUGUGUAGGAUAGGUGGGAGGCUUUGAAGUGUGG
rnacentral:rRNA from 1 species